GCAGGCAGGAACACGUUAAUAUGCAAAGCUUAGGACUCCCUAAAAAGUCCUAGGAGCUACAUGGCCACAAAUCCAGCACCUUAUUUCUCUGAAAGGCAACAGGAAGGCCUGGUCUGUAAAUUUAGUGGUACCAGAGAGAAAAAGACCACAGUCAGAGGGGUGAGUCCUGCACCUUCUGCGUCCUCCAUGGAGAGAGCUGUAAAUACAGGCAGCAAGGAGCAAUGUUCAUCAGCUUCACCCAGCUGUUCUCCUUCCUGCAGUGAUGCAGAGUCCCACAGGAACAAAGCACACAGCCCAAAAUCUUGACCAGAGGUGCACAGAGCCACCAAGGGAAGGGAAGAGCAGCUCUGCAGCCUAUGCAAGAUCUGCACAGCACUUUUGCAGUCAGAUCUUCCCUGUGCAUCCUGCAGAGCUGCUUUGUGCUGGGGCUCAGACAACUGACAGUGCAGGUGCCACCCAGGAGGUUUAUCAUGCGAUGUGAAAGCAGCAGGAUGAGAUGGAGAGAUGAAUCAUGCUGAGACAACUUACAGGAAGAGCUGUCCUGUGGAAAUCCUCAGUUGCACAGUACCCAAUGUUCACCAGGAGAUCACGCUCCUUUGCUGGAGCCGGGGGCUGCCGGUUCAGCUGGAAACCGCAG